CACUGAGUGGGGAGCCAGCGGUGCCCUGUACUUGCAAUCCGCUACAGCAAGACUGAACGAUUGAUUGCGGUGAAUAAUUCUUUCGGUAUGAGACAUAAAUUUUGUGUUGAAAUCAAGGUCUUAAGCAUUGUUUAACUGUGAACCAUGUCAGGUCCUGACGGAAGCAUCAUUAAGCAGACCUAGACAAGUGAUUUAAGGAAACUUUGGUGGAGCAAAAUCUUAUGGUGGC
rnacentral:SRP_RNA from 1 species